UGAUCCUGGUGGAAGUCAGGCAAAGCUUGGAGCUUUGCUAAACCUGUUGGACAUGGAGGUCUGGGAAUAAACGGAAACCAAAUCGCCAAGAUGGUUUAUUCUUUGUGGUAGCUCAAACCAUUCUCUUCCAGCCUACUGAAGGAUUUUCUGACCUGCUGGAUAAAGUUUUCUUCUCAUUCUGCCUCUGAGAGCUCUAAGGGCACAGGCAAGGACACUGUCAGCAGGGAAGGGCUUUUUAAUCCACAGCUUUUGAAGUGCUUCCAGAUUGUACUUAAAGCUCAGCCCAGAUCUGUGAGAGAAGAGAGCAUAACAUUACCUGCUCUGCUGAAGUUGGAGAUGUGGUGCCGAAUGUUAAAGGCUUGCAUUGGACAUUUGCACAGGAGCUCUGGCUUCCUCACCUGACUCUGCUGCUGCUCCAGCUGAAUGCUCCUGGAUUUUUGCACUCACGAAGAAUAAAGUGGUCAUGAGAAGGUGGAAGAGGAAAGAGUAUGAGAGGAGAAAACAAGAGAAAAUGGGAAAGGAUGAAAGAGGGAAGCAGAAGGAAGGAGAAAGGAAGAAAGAAGUGAAAGCAAGGAAUGAAUACAAAGACAAAAGGAUGUGAAUGCCUUGCCACCAAGGAAAGCAGGGAAACAGGUUGCAGUCACAUUAGUGACUAAGUGACUAAGCCAAGCCAAAUCUAACAAGUGCGACACUGUUGCUCUCCACAGCUUAGAUGCCUUGUUUGGGAGCUGAAUCAAUGGAAGUCCAUGUAUCAUCAAUGUAUUUUCCAGCCAUGGAGUGUAAUACCUGGACAGCAAACCCUUCCUUUUAUUGCCCAUCCUCCGCUUCUCCUGAAGAUCCAGUCCUUCCCUGGGGCUAGAGGGGCUGAAAGCAGACUGCUCUGCUGGGGAGAAGGUGGCUUUGAUGCCAAAAGAUCUCCAGUGCCAGUGGAAAUGGCACCUGGAAAAUCCAGCAGUGGGGUAGCGGUGAAGAUCUACCACAUCCAGACUUAUGCUGGAAAACUAAUGCAUUGGUGAGCUCUUUUGCAUGGCUGGUUUAGCUGUGUAUGUGCUGAUGCGUUGGCAGAAGGGGAAUCCGAAACCAAAUAGCUGUCAGAAGUUUCUUUGGUUUGUAGCAUUUUUGGUCUGAAAGGGUUGAUUUAUUAAGUGUGGUUGCAGGAGGAGAGUGUUGGGAGACAAUA